ensembl:lncRNA
UCCACCCCAAAAACGGCACCAUUUAUUUCACAGUGUUCGCACGGCUCCAUGGGGCGCUAUGGGGCGCCAUGGGGCGCUAUGGGGCGCUAUGGGGCGCCAUGGGGUGCCGUGGGGCGCUAUGGGGCGCUAUGGGGUGCUGUGGGGGUGCCCUGAGGUGCUAUGGGGUGUUGUGGGGUGCUAUGGGGCGCUAUGGGGCGCUAUGGGGGGCUGUGGGGCGCUAUGGGGAACCAUGGGGUGCUAUGGGGUGCCCUGAGGUGCUAUGGGGCGCUGUGGGGCACCAUGGGGUGCUAUGGGGUGCUGUGGGGCACUGUGGGGCACCAUGGGGUGCUAUGGGGCGCUGUGGGGUGCCCUGAGGUGCGAUGGGGCGCUGUGGGGCACCAUGGGGUGCUAUGGGGUGCCCUGAGGUGCUAUGGGGCACUAUGGGGUGCUAUGGGGCGCUAUGGGGGGCUGUGGGGUGCUAUGGGGAACCAUGGGGUGCUAUGGGGUGCCCUGAGGUGCUAUGGGGCGCUGUGGGGCACCAUGGGGUGCUAUGGGGCGCUGUGGGGCGCUAUGGGGCAUCAUGGGGUGCUAUGGGGCGCUGUGGGGUGCAAUGGGGGGCUGUGGGGCACUAUGGGGCACCAUGGGGUGCUAUGGGGCGCCGUGGGGUGCUAUGGGGGGCUAUGGGGCGCUGUGGGGUGCUGUGGAGCGGUAUGGGGUACCAUGGGGCACUAUGGGGUGCUAUGGGGUGCUAUGGGGUGCCCUGAGAUGCUAUGGGAUGCUGUGGGGUGCUAUGGGGCACCAUGGGGUGCUAUGGGGCGCUGUGGGGUGCUAUGGGGCACUGUGGGGCGCUAUGGGGCACAGUGGGCCGCUAUGGGGCCCUGUGAGGCACUGUGGGGCGCAGUGGGGUGCUAUGGGGCACAGUGGGGCGCUAUGGGGUGCGGUGGGGCACAGUGGGGUGCUAUAGGGCACCAUAGGGUGCUAUGGGGCACAGUGGGGUGCUGUGGGGCACAGUGGGGCGCUAUUGGGCCCUAUGAGGCACUAUGGUGCUCUAUGGGGCGCUAUGGGGCACAGUGGGGCGCUAUGGGGCACAGUGGGGUGCAGUGGGGCUCUGUGGGAUGCUGUGGGGCACAGUGGGGCGCUAUGGGGCACCAUAGGGUGCUAUGGGGCACUGUGGGGCGCUACUGGGCCCUAUGAGGCACUAUGGGGCUCUAUGGGGCGCUAUGGGGCACAGUGGGACGCUAUGGGGCACAGUGGGGUGCUAUGGGGCACUGUGGGGCGCUAUUGGGCCCUAUGAGGCACUAUGGGGCUCUAUGGGGUGCUAUGGGGCACAGUGGGACGCUAUGGGGCACAGAGGGGUGCUAUAGGGCACCAUAGUGUGCCAUGGGGCACAGUGGGGCGCAGUGGGGUACAGUGGUGCACUAUGGGGCGCUCGCUAUGGGGUCAGGCACUCAGGUGUGUGUCCAUCUUGGCGCUAUGGGGCUCUAUGGGGCGCUAUGGGGCGCUAUGGGGCAGUCUCUAUGGGGCGCUAUGGGGCUCGAUGGCCGCUAUGGGGCUCUAUGGGGCGCUAUGGGGCUAUGCACGCAAAUAGGCCUCCAUGAGUUCACUAUGGGGCUCUAUGGGGUUCUAUGGGGCAGUCUCUAUGGGGCACGGCAGGGCGCUAUGGGGCUCGAUGGCCGCUAUGGGGCUCUAUGGGGCAGUCUCUAUGGGGCUCUAUGGGGCGCUAUGGGGCACUAUGGGGCAGUGUCCAUGGGGCGCUAUGGGGCUACGCCCGCAGAUAGGCCUCCAAGCGCUCACUAUGGGGCUCUAUGGGGCACUAUGGGACACUAUGGGGUUCUAUGGGGUGCUAUGGGGCGCUAUGGGGCAGUGUCCAUGGGGCGCUAUGGGGCUACGCCCGCAGAUAGGCCUCCAAGCGCUCACUAUGGGGCUCUAUGGGGCUCUAUGAGGCACUAUGGGGUUCUAUGGGGUGCUAUGGGGCGCUAUGGGGCAGGGUCUAUGGGGCGCUAUGGGGCUACGCCCGCAGAUAGGCCUCCAAGCGUUCGCUAUGGGGCAGCCGCCCCCACCGCGCCAACAGCCGCAGCGCCGCCGCCAACAGCUUCGUACUGAGAGCCUCCAACCUAUGGGGGGGGGGGGCAGAAUGUGGGGCGCCGUGGGGCAGAGAUGUGGGGCAGCCGCCCCCCAUCUCAC